AAGUCGAACGAAGCACUUUAUUUGAUUUCCUUCGGGACUGAUUAUUUUGUGACUGAGUGGCGGACGGGUGAGUAACGCGUGGGUGACCUGCCCCAUACCGGGGGAUAACACCUGGAAACAGGUGCUAAUACCGCAUAAGACCACGGGAUCACAUGGUUCUGGGGUAAAAGAUUUAUCGGUUUGGGGUGGGCUCGCGUCCGAUUAGGUAGUUGGUGAGGUAACGGCCCACCAAGCCGACGAUCGGUAGCCGACCUGAGAGGGUGAUCGGCCACAUUGGGACUGAGACACGGCCCAAACUCC
rnacentral:rRNA from 2 species